UUUAGGGAGACCUACCCGCUGAUUACACCGAACUAGAUUUAUUGAGGUGAAUCAGUUGGUCAACCUAGGUCGAACGAGUAUUUGAGUACGAAGCUUUCAAACUAUUGUCUAGGUUUAUUUCUUUUUCUUUUUCUUCUUUAUUUUUGAUGUGUAUUCAGCACCUUAUCUAGAAGAGAAUCUAGAGAGACUGCUGAGUUAGCACUCAGUAAGAACCUUGAAAAUUGCAUAGUAAGAGCAGAAAGGUAGGUAGGUUUAUCUAUUGAUUGAAGAGAGUCAAUUCUUUGAUUUGAUUCGAUUGAGAAGAUAAAGCAAUCCAAGAGAGCCGAGAAAUAGAUUGAUUAAGA
rnacentral:misc_RNA from 1 species